GAGCCACACACCCUCCUCUCCAAGAUCCAGCCGCCCAACCCUCUCUUAAGCCGCCGCCGCCGGUGGUGCUCCAAACACCACCCAACUUACGCCAAUCUCUUUCUCUCUUCACCCUCUCGCCGAUUCCAAGCCUCGAAUCCUCGAAAACCCCUUCUAACUCUCAGCCGCCCCACUCCAUCUUCACCCCAUUCAACCACUUUAAAAUCUUAUCUCCUUCACUGUACCACCACUUAGCUCCACUAUUACAAUCAAGAAUUGAAAGCAUCUUUUACACAUUUUGACAAGCACCUAGCAGUCAUGUAAAAGCCUUGGCCGCCGAACUCCACUCCUCUUUCCACUUUCACCUUCUACACAAAGAACGUCCCUCCCCUCCAUUAUUCUGCUAUAUGAGCUUCUAUAUUCCAACUCUAGAUAUUACCAUUGCAGUAUUACUAAGGAUUUGAGAUGAUAAUCAUAGAUAAGAUUUUCAAAAUUGCACCGCCACAGUUAAGGUUGUUCGAGUUGCGCUCGAUUCUAGUUAAAAAGCAAGGUCGUCGUUCAAGCUUUACAACGAAGUUUCCGUUCUUGGCUCGACAGUUCCGGUCCCAUGUGAUUUCAGUCGAGGAUUUCCGGUCAAGUUCUGGCCUCGGUUCCUAUUCACGCACUGCUACUGUAAUCAGAUGACUCAUUUUGAGGUCCAUUUCUUACUUUCUCUCGUUGGUUGCUAUCUAUUUGUGUGGGUAUGUGAUUUUGUUUAAAUGAUUUGAUAUUUUUUAUUAAUUUAUAUUUGUUUGGACUUCAAUUGAAAAGCAUGUUUAAAUGAGUGUAUGUGAAAUUUGUACCCAACUUCUGAUUCUCCUCUGGUGGUGUUCGAAUUACUUGAGCAAAUAGUAAAAUUAGGAGAUUAAGAAUCGGGAAAGAAGUAAGGUUCGAUAAUUCGGAUUGGGUUACUAAAAUAAUUAGAUAGUAGUUUUUUUGUGAUUUAAAAAGCAAAAAAAAAUAGUUUUGGACUUUGCAAGGCAAAUUGGUAGUAGCUGAGAACUAAAAUUAUAACGAUUUGAGUGUAGGAUGAUUUUUUUUUUGUUUUUUUUGUGAAUUUUUUAUUUUGCUUUAUUAGUUUAACCGCUAGGAACAUGUUUAGGCCGUUAAUGUUCGGAUAGGCAAACUUUAGUAUUUUGUUUGUUUUAAUUUCGAGGCGAGAGGUCGUUCCCUUUAGUUUAUAUUUAGGGGAAUGGCCCGUAGACUCUGUAAAUAUUUUUAUCAGGAGAAUGCCCCGAAGUAUUAUGUAGUUAGAGGCCAAAGACGGGACGAUGCGAAGAAGCGUAGAAUAGAAUUAUAGUAUUUUUAUUUUAUUUCUUCUUUUAUUUUUAUUUUUUUAGGUGGGGACAACCUCGAGCCUCUUGUGUGUUUAUGUUUCUUUCUUUCGUGUGUUUUUUGCCUCAGUUUGAGUUUUCUUAAAAGCCAACUUGAUCAUGUAUGCAACCGUGACCUUCACGGGACUUGGGGAAUGCCUAGCACCUUCUCCCCGAGUCAAAUGAACCCCUUUACCUUGAAUCUCUGGUGCAGUCAUUUUUAGGGUCAAACGUGUUUUGAAAGAAAAAUUAUUUUUAAACGGUGACCUGACACACCGAAACCAAAUGUCAGGUGGCGACUCUGAAAAAUCUUUCGAAACACAAUCUUUUGUCACUCUUCAAAUUGAAACCCUUUUGAGCUUUACAAAUCUUUUAUUUAUUUUAAAGAGGGUUAGUGAGGUGAAAAAAGGGGUGUGACAGCUUUGGCGACUCUGUUGGGGAUUUGCAGGUUCGAGCUGAUACUGUGAUCUUGUUGGCUUUUUAGAAUACUCAAUUGAGGCAUUUUUGUGUUUUUGUUUCUUGUGUGUUUUUACACUUUGUUGCUUAGUUGCUAAUUGUUUAUGUGUUUACCAUUUUCCUUUAUGUGUUACUGCUUUAUAAUUAUCAUCAUUUGCAUUACCCGGUCAAUUCUUUCUACAAUAAGUCUCGUAGUACGUGUGGCGUACACGAACUCUUUAUUGAGUCACCCUUAUUUUGGGGGGAAGGGGGGGUCGUCGGACGUAUGGAGUGGGUGAAAAGCUUGAGCAGCCACCAUCGACCAUACGUUCCCCCGAAUUGCCUUGUCUAGUGAACCUCAAACUUAGGUCAGCCUUUAGGUCAUUCUUAUUUGCAUCAUGUCAUUUAGACCUAGUAGGGCUCGGUCCCAGGCACCGUGUCCCUUUGUAGGAGGCCUAUCCAAAUUAUGUCAAAAUAGGCCCGCUGGCCCAAAAGGACAUUCAAUCAUUCUACGUGCUAAAUGUUGCAUCUUUGAGGGUAGAAAGGUCAUUUAGCAGACUGAUGUUUGGGAAAGAAUGGUGAAAAAAGAAGCAAGAGAGAAUAUUGAGGGUUUUGUCACUUUUAUAUUCUUGCUCCAUUUUCUAAAAUAAAAAAAAAAAGCAAAAAGAUUUUACACUUUCUUAUCAUUUUCAAAAAAGACAAAAAAUAUUUUUUUCAAAUUAAUUGCAUUUUUCAAAACUUUCUCCCAUAUCCAAUCCUCCCGAACUACACAUACCUGAUUUUCGUCUUUCGAGGUGGGAUAUGUAGGCAGCCCACAUAGAGUCCGGUCUUCCUAGUUAGUCUUAAGUUCUUGGCUUCGCGGGGUCUUAGCCAAAUAUUACAUGUCUAGCCACAUUAGGUCACAUCGGCCCUUUUUUGCAAAAUAGGGAUAUUUUCGCAAAAAGUGGUUUGUUAACCCAUGUCUUAGAGUUUUAAGUCUACCACAAGGUGUCCUCUCUGUCUAAGGUCCAUUCAUAUUUAAUUUGCAUGCUUAGCCAUUUUCGACCACAUAGGCCAUUUCUGCAAAGUGGGAUCAUUUUCACAAAGCAACUUUAGGGACCGCGAUUCCUGAGAGUUUAUGGGCCUUCGUGAGGUGUUUCCAUAUUUUAGAGGUCGUCCUAAUUGAGUUUUCACUUUUAGCCACCUUUUGGCCACGUAGGUCAGUUUGCAAAAAUAGCCUUAAUCAUGUCUUGCAUGUGUCCAACAGGAAGUGUUAUUGUCUCACAUAGUAUUCUAAGUCUUUAACUCUAUUUGGUCUUAUUUUUUUCAUAAAGGUAUAGAUCCAUUUGCCGGAGAUUGAGCAUGACAGACGCCCCAGGACCAUCCAGUCAGGACCACUGCAUUCAUGAGUUGCUUGAGGAUACUUUUAUGUUUUGAGUCUGUCAUUCAUGUUGCCUUUUAUUUUUAGUCUUGUACAGUAGUAUCGAAUCUUUUAGGUGGUGUCAGAGUCUGUCCUAGUCUAGUUGAGUUUGUCGAG
rnacentral:lncRNA from 1 species